AUCUUUCUAGUAUCAGAUCAAUACAGAUGACUUCCAAUCAUUCAAUCUUGGUUAAAGCCCAAGGAAAGAUA
rnacentral:tRNA from 1 species